AGUGAGGAUUGCAAGUACUGUGAGGAUAUCCUGGAAGUUCAGGGCUUCUCAUGGAACUGAGGUCUUUCCUUUGGCCCUGAAGUCGGGAGGAAGAAAGAAGGAGGAAGAACAGAAGAAACCAUUACAAGACUCUCUGCAGUGGUGUAGCAAAGAGACUCCUGGUUUGGAUGAUGAAAUCUAGUAGAGGAGUGAUGAAAAGCAUCUGGCAAAGAAGCCAUUAAGUGGAUCCUAGGACAUGUUACCCAGUAGAGCUCCAGUCCAGAUUUGUACCACAUUCAUGAGUAGUGAGCAGCUGAGGCAUGAUCACACAUCAACACCUUGCUAGGCAAACCCUUUCAAGAAGAUGCAAAAUUUGUACUACAGGAGAGGAGGUUUCUGAACAGUCAGUGAAACAUCAGGCCAUGUUGCAAUGCUUGGGGUAGUCUGGUGAAUUCAUUUACAUAUUGUUUGGGAAAUGAUUAGUUGGGAUCUUCCAUGAACUGUCUAAAAAUACUUUGGUAUAGAAUCUAAGGGGUAUAAAGUAAGAUGUUCUUUUGGGUUGCAAGUUCUUUUAUUUCUCUUUCUGGUUUUCAGUGUACACCAAAAUGCCUCUACUCUAAUUACACCCCUUGGCAGACAUAAACACAGAACCUCAUUGGCAGUCUGUCCUGGAUUAAAAGGUUUAUCUGAAAAAACAGCCUGGCUGAUGCUACAAAAUGGUUGGUCGAUGGCAGAAACAAAAACAAUCAGAUAUGAAUAACAUGAUUUCUUUCUUGAUUUUCUUUUCUGCAUAUGAUUUGCUUUCACACCAAGUCAUUAGUAUUGUAUACUCAAGAAAUGGCUGUACAAUAAUUUACUUAAUAAAUUCUGGCACUUACCCUGCAUUAC
rnacentral:lncRNA from 7 species